GGUUGUGGCUCAGAGGUAGAGCACUCAUCUAGCAUGUGCGAGGUCCUGGGUUCAAUCCUCAGCACCA
rnacentral:tRNA from 1 species